rnacentral:antisense_RNA from 1 species
AGUCCACGUUGGGAGCCUGCAGCGCUUCCGGGUCCGUGAUGACCCCGCCGGGCACGAUGCGCUCAAAGGCGGCCAGGUCCUGCUUAGACACCGUGGAGAACGGCAAGCGCCGCACGGGGUAGCGCUCCCGGGUCAGCGGCACCUCGGGGAUCCCCGGGGCGGAGCAGCAGCCUCUGCGGGCCAGGGGGCCAACCGGCCGACCCCAAGAACCCGCGGCUCCCGGAGCACCCCGCAACAGCCACGCGGGCCACGCCAGAGGCCGACGGGGCAGCAUCGCCGCCGGGACGGAGACCUCGGGCUCCUCCUUGGUGGGGGGCCGGUACUCAGGGCCCGGAGGGGAAGGGCAGGGAGCCGCUGGCUGCGCGCCUGGAAGUGACCAAGGGCACCGACUGGCUGACGGCGCCCGAGAUCGCGCCCCGCCACCCCGACCCGCGGCUGAACCGCAGCCCGGGACCCUAAGCCCAGCGCUCCG